UACGUAGGGGGCGAGCGUUGUCCGGAUUUAUUGGGCGUAAAGAGCUCGUAGGCGGUUUGGAAAGUCGGGUGUGAAAACUCCGGCUCAACUCGGAGACGCCACUCGAUACUGCCAUGACUAGAGUCCGGUAGGGGAGUGCGGAAUUCCUGGUGUAGCGGUGAAAUGCGCAGAUAUCAGGAGGAACACCGGUGGCGAAGGCGGCACUCUGGGCCGGAACUGACGCUGAGGAGCGAAAGCGUGGGGAGCGAACAGG
rnacentral:rRNA from 1 species